rnacentral:rRNA from 1 species
UGCGUAGGCGGAUUAAUAAGUCUGUGGUGAAAUCUCUCGGCUCAACCGGGAAACUGCCAUUGAUACUGUUAAUCUUGAGUUCGGUUGAGGUAGGCGGAAUGUGUAAUGUAGCGGUGAAAUGCUUAGAUAUUACACAGAACACCAAUUGCGUAGGCAGCUUACUAGACCGACACUGACGCUGAGGCACGAAAGCGUGGGUAGCGAACAGGAUUAGAUACCCUGGUAGUCC